AUGAACGCUGGCGGCGUGCCUCAUACAUGCAAGUCGAGCGAACGGACGAGAAGCUUGCUUCUCUGAUGUUAGCGGCGGACGGGUGAGUAACACGUGGAUAACCUACCUAUAAGACUGGGAUAACUUCGGGAAACCGUAGCUAAUACCGGAUAAUAUUUUGAACCGCAUGGUUCAAAAGUGAAAGACGGUCUUGCUGUCACUUAUAGAUGGAUCCGCGCUGCAUUAGCUAGUUGGUAAGGUAACGGCUUACCAAGGCAACGAUGCAUAGCCGACCUGAGAGGGUGAUCGGCCACACUGGAACUGAGACACGGUCCAGGCUCCUACGGGAGGCAGCAGUAGGGAAUCUUCCGCAAUGGGCGAAAGCCUGACGGAGCAACGCCGCGUGAGUGAUGAAGGUCUUCGGAUCGUAAAACUCUGUUAUUAGGGAAGAACAUACGUGUAAGUAACUGUGCACAUCUUGACGGUACCUAAUCAGAAAGCCACGGCUAACUACGUG
rnacentral:rRNA from 1 species